AAUUUUAUAGAAGAGGAUAUUCUCAGAAAAAAAAAAACUUCCCAAGGAUAAUGCUGCAAAUUGAGAUCAUCUCUAUAUUUGCAAUUGAAUACAUAUUAUGCUGAUUAAAAAAAAUAAUAAUAACACGGCGUAUUUUGUCCCUUGUACUUCAUUUCCAUAUGGCUCAAGUGAGCAGAGCAGAAACAGAUAUAAACAAGAAACAGAGAUGGACAAACCGUGGUAUCCGUUUGGACGGUUUUGAUGGGACCUCUCUGAUCAAGUUGAACCUUUUCCCCUUCUUUCCCAUGGUUUUGCAGCUAUCCACCUGUCUAGCCAUCUUAAUCUCUCUUCAAGAUCGUAAAUUGUGGGAAAAAUAACAGGAAAGAAGGAAAGAAUAGAGGAGCUCUAAAAGUACAGAGUAGAAGACAGAGGAGCUCAUGAUGGGUUUUGAUAGAUUUUGUUGUUCAUGCAUUCUCUGAUGAGAAAUUCUUUGUGGAAACUUUCCAUCGAGCCACAGGAAAAUGCACCAGAAGACGCUACUGGAACAUCUCUGAAGAAUAAUAACGUCAACUUUAUAUUGUUAGAAGACAGUCUUCGUAGUACAACAAAACGUUCCAAGAGUAUUCCACGAAAAAAAAAAAAGUUCCAAGAAUAAUGCUUCAAAUUAACAGCCUCUUUUAUAUUUGUAUUGUAUGCAUAUUAUGCUGCCCAAAAAACAAUGUUUAUUUUGUCCCUUGUACCUUGCUUUCCAUGGGGCUCAAAUGAGCAUAGCACAAACAGAAUAAACAGUGGAAUCCAUUUGGACGGUUCUGAUGGGGUCUC